AACAUCGCGCACCUGCGGGAACCUGCGGAAGGAUCAUUACCGAGCUAUACAACUCAUCAACCCUGUGAACAUACCUAAAACGUUGCCUCGGCGGGAACAGACGGCCCCGUAACACGGGCCGCCCCCGCCAGAGGACCCCCUAACUCUGUUUCUAUAAUGUUUUUUCUGAGUAAACAAGCAAAUAAAUCAAAACUUUCAACAAUGGAUCU
rnacentral:misc_RNA from 1 species